rnacentral:rRNA from 1 species
CCCUAGUAUGAAAAUUAGAUAUAAUUAGUAUAUAAUGAAAUUUAAUAAUUUUGGCGGUUGGUUAUUAAUUAGAGGAGCUUGUUAUGUGAUAGAAAUUACUCUUUAAAUUUUUCUUGUAUGAGGUUUAUUCAUCUCCGUUAUUAGGUAAUUUAGUUUGUUAAGAAAGAUUAAUUUUUAAUUCUGUAUUUCAGGUCAAGAUGUAGCAUAUAUAAGUGUUGAUUAGCUACAUUUUUAAAAAAAAUGGAUUUUGUAAUAGAAGUUAGAAUUGAAAUUGAAUUUAAUUGUAAUGUUAAUUAGGAUAUUGGUAUGAAUGGUAAUGGUUAAUGUA